AGUGUAUGUGGUGGAUGCCUUGGCGAUUACAGGCGAUGAAGGACGUCGCAGCCUGCGAAAAGCCGUGGGGAGCUGGCAAGCGAGCACUGAUCCACGGAUGUCCGAAUGAGGGAACUCACCCGCAAGGGUAUCUUGAAGUGAAUACAUAGCUUCAAGAGGCGAACGCAGCGAACUGAAACAUCUAAGUAGCUGCAGGAAAAGAAAUCAACCGAGAUUCUGAAAGUAGCGGCGAGCGAAAUUGGAAGAGCCUGCAAGUGAUAUUGAAUUCGAUACUGGAACGGUCUGGAAAGUCCGGCUACAGAGGGUGAUAGCCCCGUACGGGAAAUUGGGUUCAAGGUACUGAGCUUGCGAGAAGUAGAGCGGGACACGUGAAAUCCUGCUCGAAGAUGGGGGGACCAUCCUCCAAGGCUAAAUACUCGUAAUCGACCGAUAGCGAACCAGUACUGUGAAGGAAAGGCGAAAAGAACCCCGGGAGGGGAGUGAAAUAGAUCCUGAAACCGCAUACAUACAAACAGUAGGAGCCCGCAAGGGUGACUGCGUACCUUUUGCAUAAUGGGUCAGCGACUUACGUUCAAUGGCAAGCUUAACCGAGUAGGGGAGGCGCAGCGAAAGCGAGUCCGAACAGGGCGACAUGAGUCGUUGGGCGUAGACCCGAAACCAGAUGAUCUAUCCAUGGCCAGGCUGAAGGUGUGGUAACACACACUGGAGGGCCGAACCGACUAGUGUUGCAAAAUUAGCGGAUGAGCUGUGGAUAGGGGUGAAAGGCUAAACAAAUCUGGAGAUAGCUGGUUCUCCCCGAAAACUAUUGAGGUAGUGCCUCGUGUAUGGCUCCAGGGGGUAGAGCACUGUUAUGGCUAGGGGGACAUGGCGUCUUACCAAACCAUGGCAAACUCCGAAUACUUGGAAGUCUGAGCACGGGAGACAGAGCACCGGGUGCUAACGUCCGGACUCAAAAGGGAAACAACCCAGACCGCCGGCUAAGGUCCCUAAUAUUGACUAAGUGGAAAACGAAGUGGGAAGGCUAAGACAGUCAGGAAGUUGGCUUAGAAGCAGCCAUCCUUCAAAGAAAGCGUAAUAGCUCACUGAUCGAGUCUUCCUGCGCGGAAGAUGUAACGGGGCUAAGUCAAUAACCGAAGCCGCGGAUUCGCAGCAAUGCGAGUGGUAGGGGAGCGUUCUGUAAGCCUGCGAAGGCGGAUCCGCGAGGACCGCUGGAGGUAUCAGAAGUGCGAAUGCUGACAUGAGUAACGUUAAAGCGGGUGAAAAGCCCGCUCGCCGCAAGCCCAAGGUUUCCUGCUCUACGUUCAUCGGAGCAGGGUGAGUCGGCCCCUAAGGUCAGGCUGAGAAGCGUAGCUGAUGGGAAGCUGGUUAAUAUUCCAGCACCGAUUUCAAGUGCGAAGGGGGGACGGAGUCCUGAAGGUCAUCCGGGUGUUGGAUAUCCCGGUUUACGAGCGUAGGAGGUUGACAGGCAAAUCCGUCAACGAAUCUCCAAGGCGAAGGAUCGAGGUUGAGAGAUCAACUGAAGUGACUGAAUGGGCUUCCAGGAAAAGCCUCUAAGCAUCAGCUUGGAAUUGACCGUACCGCAAACCGACACUGGUGGGCGAGCUGAAUAUGCUCAGGCGCUUGAGAGAACUCAGGAGAAGGAACUCGGCAAAUUGACACCGUAACUUCGGGAUAAGGUGUGCCUUUGUAGUGUGAAGAGAGAAACACUCCGAGCAUGAAGAGGCCUCAGAGAAUCGGUGGCUGCAACUGUUUACUAAAAACACAGCACUCUGCAAAGAUGAAAGUCGACGUAUAGGGUGUGAUGCCUGCCCGGUGCUGGAAGAUUAAUUGAUGGGGUGCAAGCUCCUGAUCGAAGUCCCAGUAAACGGCGGCCGUAACUAUAACGGUCCUAAGGUAGCGAAAUUCCUUGUCGGGGAAGUUCCGACCUGCACGAAUGGUGUAAUGAUCUGGACACUGUCUCAACCGUGAGCUCGGUGAAAUUGUAGUAUCGG
rnacentral:rRNA from 1 species